rnacentral:rRNA from 1 species
UACAGAGGUGGCAAGCGUUGUUCGGAAUUACUGGGCGUAAAGGGCGAGUAGGCGGCCUUCUAAGUCAGACGUGAAGUCCCCCGGCUUAACCUGGGAACUGCGUCUGAUACUGGAUGGCUUGAGUUUGGGAGAGGGAUGCGGAAUUCCAGGUGUAGCGGUGAAAUGCGUAGAUAUCUGGAGGAACACCGGUGGCGAAGGCGGCAUCCUGGACCAACACUGACGCUGAGUGAGCGAAAGCCAGGGGAGCAAACGGG